ACAUGAACGGUUGUUCCCUUUUGUGAGGCCAGGCCUGAGCACCAGGAAGUUCUAGAAGCAGCACAUGGAGAGAGAUGGAGUGAACCAAAAAAGGGGCAAAAACAGCCUGUCUGCAGUAGACAAGGCUUGCCCAGGUGUCCCGUCUGAGCCCAGAGCCAAUCUCCUUAUUGCCCUUAAAAAAAGGUUGUCUUAAGACUCAGUAUUCCAAUUGUGUGCUGUUAACUUUGUUCCCAAGGGCUUGGCAGAGAAGAAAAUAAAAAGACAUUCUGAGACAAUUUGAAAGAAAAGAUUUUUAAAAUGCAAAACAGCAAAGAUCACCAAACAAGGAUGGGACAAUAUUAACCCAUCUUCCAAGCUGGAUCAUUCUUGCUGUGCCAGGAUGGGUGAGCUUCAUACAUUCAGAAACUGCCAAGACCCCGAAGGAUUUUUUCCCCUCCCAGAAAUUCUUUGGGAAUUUGAAACCCACUUCAAGGAAGGAAAAAAAAAAAAGGAAAUCCAUCUUACAGUAUUAGUCACCAAGAUGGGUGUGAAGACAACGGGCUAUAAACCAAACUCGGCUCCAUCUCCAAGACCAAAGAACAGUCUCUAACAAACUGCUUUGAAUUUUAAGAAUUAGCAAUAAUGCUGGCAAACCGGUUUCCUUUUCUUAAAAAAUGAAAUAAUAAUAAUUUGUUUAAAACCUCCAAAUUGACUCCUAAUGUUACCACCAAAUAAAGAACAUGGGCUGAGACUUCAAGCAAAAGCCAGGAUGUUCAAAAGCCAGAGAAAAACACUUAGCUAUGAAAAAAUAAAAAUAUGAGUUGGAAAUAAAAUCCCAGGGAAGCAAAUUUGGUGUGCACUAGAGGUCUUGCAUUCUACCAGCAAAAGCAGGCAGUGGUGGGAGGCAG
rnacentral:lncRNA from 1 species